rnacentral:misc_RNA from 1 species
GAUGAAGAACGCAGCGAAAUGCGAUAAGUAGUGUGAAUUGCAGAAUUCAGUGAAUCAUCGAAUCUUUGAACGCACAUUGCGCCCCUUGGUAUUCCAUGGGGCAUGCCUGUUCGAGCGUCAUUUGUACCUUCAAGCUCUGCUUGGUGUUGGGUGUUUGUCUCGCCUCUGCGUGUAGACUCGCCUCAAAACAAUUGGCAGCCGGCGUAUUGAUUUCGGAGCGCAGUACAUCUCGCGCUUUGCACUCAUAACGACGACGUCCAAAAGUACAUUUUUACACUCUUGACCUCGGAUCAGGUAGGGAUACCCGCUGAACUUAAGCAUAUCAAUAGGCGGAGGA